CCUACGGGGGGCUGCAGUGGGGAAUAUUGGACAAUGGGGGCAACCCUGAUCCAGCCAUGCCGCGUGUGUGAAGAAGGCCCUCGGGUUGUAAAGCACUUUCAGUGAGGAAGAACGCCUGGUGGUGAAUACCCAUCAGGAAAGACAUCACUCACAGAAGAAGCACCGGCUAACUCCGUGCCAGAGCCGCGGUAAUACGGAGGGUGCGAGCGUUAAUCGGAAUUACUGGGCGUAAAGCGCGCGUAGGUGGCUUGAUAAGCCGGUUGUGAAAGCCCCGGGCUCAACCUGGGAACGGCAUCCGGAACUGUCAAGCUAGAGUGAAGGAGAGGAAGGUAGAAUUCCCGGUGUAGCGGUGAAAUGCGUAGAGAUCGGGAGGAAUACCAGUGGCGAAGGCGGCCUUCUGGACUGACACUGACACUGAGGUGCGAAAGCGUGGGUAGCAAACAGGAUUAGAUACCCUUGUAGUC
rnacentral:rRNA from 1 species